UCUAUAUUUCAUCCAUCUAAAUUGGUACAGAUUUCACACUUAGAAAGUUUGUGAUGCCACAAUUCAUGUAUUUAUAAGCUGAGAAUUAAGGCAAUGCAGGUGGAAAAAUGCCUGAUAGAUAUGAGUAUUCAUAAAGCUUAGUUCCCCAUAAAAUUAGGACCUUUAUAUUGAGACUCUGGUGGUAUUUGCCGUUCUCUCUCUUUGAGAUAGUUAAGAAGUGUUGGCUGCUCCUGUCUAAAGUCCAUUCCAGUGCCACAUACAUACGGGGAUGCUCUUUCGUAACCAAGAAAAUGUUUACCCAUUAUUUGUUCCUCUGCACCAUAGGCAAGAGGAGGACUUGGAUGCAACUGUGGGCUCUCCAAGUACACCAUGGGACUAGAAGCCAAGUGAUUUCCCCACUGAUCUAAGACAUCAAACCUGGUAAGGUUGGUCGCGUUCAGGUUUCCAUAGGUUGCUGG
rnacentral:misc_RNA from 1 species